UACGUAGGCAGCAAGCGUUGUUCGGAAUUACUGGGCGUAAAGAGUGUGUAGGCGGUGCUCUAAGUUUGGGGUGAAAUCUCCCGGCUCAACUGGGAGGGUGCGCCGAAAACUGGAAUGCUUGAACAUGGGAGAGGAAAGCGGAAUUCCUGGUGUAGCGGUGAAAUGCGUAGAUAUCAGGAGGAACACCUGCGGUGUAGACGGCUUUCUGGACCAUUGUUGACGCUGAGACACGAAAGCGUGGGUAGCAAACAGG
rnacentral:rRNA from 1 species